rnacentral:tRNA from 1 species
AAAAUUUUUAGUUAUUUAAACUUUAAACCUUCAAAGUUUAAUAUAUAUAUAUUA